UGGGGAAUAUUGGACAAUGGGCGCAAGCCUGAUCCAGCCAUGCCGCGUGUGUGAAGAAGGCCUUCGGGUUGUAAAGCACUUUUGUCCGGAAAGAAAAGCUUCGGGUUAAUACCCCGGGGUUCUGACGGUACCGGAAGAAUAAGCACCGGCUAACUUCGUGCCAGCAGCCGCGGUAAUACGAAGGGUGCAAGCGUUACUCGGAAUUACUGGGCGUAAAGCGUGCGUAGGUGGUUUGUUAAGUCUGAUGUGAAAGCCCUGGGCUCAACCUGGGAAUUGCAUUGGAUACUGGCAGGCUAGAGUGCGGUAGAGGAUGGCGGAAUUCCCGGUGUAGCAGUGAAAUGCGUAGAGAUCGGGAGGAACAUCUGUGGCGAAGGCGGCCAUCUGGACCAGCACUGACACUGAGGUGCGAAAGCGUGGGGAGCAAACAGGAUUAGAUACCCACGUAGUCCCUGAGCGGGCUGGCAAGGCGCAU
rnacentral:rRNA from 1 species